rnacentral:rRNA from 1 species
UUAAGCAGCCAUAUCACCCUGUAGCCCAAGACUGGUUGCCCACUGAAGCUAAGCAGGGUUGAGCUUGGUCAGUACCUGGAUGGGAGACCUCCUGGGAAAACUAGGUUGCUGUUGGAU